rnacentral:rRNA from 1 species
GACGAACGCUGGCGGCGUGCUUAACACAUGCAAGUCGAACGGAAAGGCCUCUUUCGGGGGGUACUCGAGUGGCGAACGGGUGAGUAACACGCGAGUAACCUGCCCUUGACUUUGGGAUAACUUCAGGAAACUGGGGCUAAUACCGGAUAGGAGCUCCUGCUGCAUGGUGGGGGUUGGAAAGUUUCGGCGGUUGGGGAUGGACUCGCGGCUUAUCAGCUUGUUGGUGGGGUAGUGGCUUACCAAGGCUUUGACGGGUAGCCGGCCUGGGAGGGUGACCGGCCACAUUGGGACUGGGAUACGGCCCAGAAUCCUACGGGAGGCAGCAGUGGGGAAAAUUGCACAAUGGGUGGGAGCCUGAUGCAGCAACGCCGUGUGCGGGAUGACGGCCUUCGGGUUGUAAACCGCUUUCGCUCAUGACGAAGCUUUGUGUGACGGUAGUGGGUAAAGAAGCACCGGCUAACUACGUG